rnacentral:pre_miRNA from 1 species
GCCGGGAGGUUGAACAUCCUGCAUAGUGCUGCCAGGAUAUCCCUAUUCCAUAGUAAGGGGGCCAGCUGGUUGCAUAUGUAGGAUGUCCCAUCUCCCUGCCCACUUCAUCG